GUCUUCGUGGCUCAGUUGGUUAGAGCGUUGGUCUCAUAGAGAUAUGACCCAGUCAACCAGAUCGGGAUAUCCAAAGGUCGUGAGUUCGAGUCUCACCGAGGACA